rnacentral:rRNA from 1 species
UACGUAGGUGGCAAGCGUUGUCCGGAUUUACUGGGCGUAAAGAGCGCGCAGGCGGUUGAUUAAGUCGAAUGUGAAAGCCCCCGGCUCAACUGGGGAGGGUCAUUCGAUACUGAUCGACUUGAAGGCAGGAGAGAGAAGUGGAAUUCCCGGUGUAGUGGUGAAAUGCGUAGAUAUCAGGAGGAACACCGGUGGCGAAGGCGGGUCUCUGGGCAGUAACUGACGCUGAGGAGCGAAAGCGUGGGGAGCGAACAGG